GACGAACGCUGGCGGCGUGCUUAACACAUGCAAGUCGAACGGAAAGGCCUGCUUUCCCUUGUGGAUUGCGGGUACUCGAGUGGCGAACGGGUGAGUAACACGUGAGUGAUCUGCCCCCAACUUGGGUAUAAGCCUGGGAAACUGGGUCUAAUUCCCGAUAGGACUGCAGGGUGGUGCCUGUGGUGGAAAACGAUUUUCUAGUGGUUGGGGAUGAGCUCGCGGCCUAUCAGCUUGUUGGUGGGGUAAUGGCCUACCAAGGCGGCGACGGGUAGCCGGCCUGGAGGGGUGGACGGCCAAGUUGGGACGGGGAAACGGCCCAGAGCCCAACGGGGGGCGGCAGGGGGGAAUAGUGCACAAGGGGGGGAAGCCUGAUGCAGGGACGCCGGGUGGGGGAGGCCGGCCUUCGGGUUUGAAACUCCUUUCGACCGGGAGGAAGCCACCUGGUGGGAAGGGGGGUGAGGGUAGUGGUAGAAGAAGCACCGGCUAACUACGG
rnacentral:rRNA from 1 species